AACUUCACAGUUCGUUCAUCAAGGGAUAUGUGUGGGUCUCCAUCGACAGGACAAGUUGCCUGCUUCUUGAAGACCUUCUAUGAUGAUGCGCAACAUUGGCAAUUAUCGUACGUGUGAUCAUGGAUGCCUCCAUCUCCCUGCAAAGUGUGUGUCAUCAGACAUUGCAGCACAUCAUACCUACGACAGACGGUGGUGCGUGCCUUGUGCUGAAGACCUUCCAAGGUGGCCUGGGCAGUUACCGCACUUAAGAGCAUAGUUUGACGUAGGAGCUGCCAAGGCGUCCUGUCCAUUUCACGUGAACAGUGGCCAGCACUGGAAGAAGCAAUCUUUGGACUGCUGUAAUGCAUUCUUUGGGCACGUAAAUAAAUUACUUUGAAUCAGAGACCUGGUGUUUGCACAGCCGCUCCACAGA